rnacentral:misc_RNA from 1 species
AAGUCGUAACAAGGUUUCCGUAGGUGAACCUGCGGAAGGAUCAUUAACAAAAUUUAUGUUGAAGGGGGGAAAAACUAGACAAUGGACCUCUCACGGUUCUUGAAAAGUAUAUGAUACCCUUCAACUUAAUAUACAAAUACACCUUCUCUAGAGGGGGUGCUCUCAAACUUUUAAUCAAGUUUGUGAUUAUAUCUCUAGAGAAAUCCCAUAAUUAAACUUAUAUAAUUUUAAGUUUAAUUAUGGGAAAAAACAUAUUAACAUUUAACAUUUGACAAACAAUGGAGAACCAAUUUAUUUUAAUGGUAAACGUUUAAACAACUUUUAACAAUGGAUCUCUAGGCUCUU